GACGAACGCUGGCGGCGUGCCUAAUACAUGCAAGUUGAGCGCUGAAGGUUGGUACUUGUACCAACUGGAUGAGCAGCGAACGGGUGAGUGACGCGUGGGGAAUCUGCCUUUGAGCGGGGGACAACAUUUGGAAACGAAUGCUAAUACCGCAUAAAAACUUUAAACACAAGUUUUAAGUUUGAAAGAUGCAAUUGCAUCACUCAAAGAUGAUCCCGCGUUGUAUUAGCUAGUUGGUGAGGUAAAGGCUCACCAAGGCGAUGAUACAUAGCCGACCUGAGAGGGUGAUCGGCCACAUUGGGACUGAGACACGGCCCAAACUCCUACGGGAGGCAGCAGUAGGGAAUCUUCGGCAAUGGACGAAAGUCUGACCGAGCAACGCCGCGUGAGUGAAGAAGGUUUUCGGAUCGUAAAACUCUGUUGGUAGAGAAGAACGUUGGUGAGAGUGGAAAGCUCAUCAAGUGACGGUAACUACACAGAAAGGGACGGCUAACUACGUG
rnacentral:rRNA from 1 species